GGGGGUGUUUUUGGUUUCGACGGGGAAAGUGAAGCAUAAGUGGCAUGCCGAGUCGUCACCGUCUCGUAAAAAGGUGGCACAUUACAGUUGCCAAUAGCAACUACGCACUCGCUGCUUAAUUAGCAGCCGUCAUCUAAAGUUGCCACCUGCAGACUUUAGAAUGACGUCGCCUUGCAGGUUGCUCUUAUGGUUUUGCUUCGACCAUAAGUUAAGACUUUGAAGCAUUGCUCGAUGUAAAUCCGGCUCUUUGGAGUUACAUCGGGGACUUUAAAGAAAGAGCUAAGCAUGUAGAAGCUUAUGUGGAAUUUCUUCGGACACGGGUUCGACUCCCGUCACCUCCACCA
rnacentral:tmRNA from 1 species